UUGUUGUUUGUGACUUUUAGGAAGAGAGGAGGUCGGGUUGCUCUGUUUUUUAGUUUCUAAGUAGUGUCUUGUAGAUUGUUGUUUGUCUUUUCGUUGUAUUUUGCUGUGGUCUUCUCAUUGACUUAAAAGCUUAAUAUAAGUACUGAUUGUCCUUAUGUAUCUUUCGCAAGAUUUAAAAACAAUUCUCGUACAUAAUUGCAAAAUAUUUUUAUGGUAAGCUCUUAUGUUAUGUUGUUAUGCCACUCUCACAGGUUAGGGGA
rnacentral:lncRNA from 1 species